rnacentral:rRNA from 1 species
AUACGUAGGGGGCGAGCGUUGUCCGGAAUGAUUGGGCGUAAAGGGCGCGUAGGCGGCCCGGUAAGUCUGGAGUGAAAGUCCUGUUUUUAAGAUGGGAAUUGCUUUGGAUACUGUCGGGCUUGAGUGCAGGAGAGGUAAGUGGAAUUCCCAGUGUAGCGGUGAAAUGCGUAGAGAUUGGGAGGAACACCAGUGGCGAAGGCGACUUACUGGACUGUAACUGACGCUGAGGCGCGAAAGUGUGGGGAGCAAACAGGAUUAGAUACCCUGGUAGUCCACACUGUAAACGAUGAAUGCUAGGUGUAGGGGGUAUCGACCCCUUCUGUGCCGCAGUCAACACAAUAAGCAUUCUGCCUGGGGAGUACGGCCGCAAGGUUGAAACUCAAAGGAAUUGACGGGG